UCUGAGAAGGGAGAAAUCGUUGUAACAUGGAUGAAAUAUUCGUAAGCUGAGACUGCAAAUUUGCUUAGUUUUGCUUCAGCUCCUCAAUAGUUGCUUGAAGAUGACAAACUUCUGCAGUGUUACUAGAUUCUCUGGCAUUUCUUGUAUAUGUGCCCACUGAAGACAACUGAGUGGGGGUAACUCCAACGCCGUAACCCCUCACUCGACCAUAACGCUCUGGGCCCAUCAAUUCAGCGAGCACUUGAGCUUCAAUAUUAUGGGUCGUGUCGGAUGAUGAUGACCCCCCGACGCGCUCCGAAAUAAGAUUUGUUG
rnacentral:lncRNA from 1 species